UACGAAGGGGGCUAGCGUUGCUCGGAAUCACUGGGCGUAAAGCGCACGUAGGCGGAUUGCUAAGUCAGGGGUGAAAUCCUGGAGCUCAACUCCAGAACUGCCUUUGAUACUGGCGAUCUUGAGUCCGGGAGAGGUGAGUGGAAUUCCUAGUGUAGAGGUGAAAUGCGUAGAUAUUGGGAGGAACACCAGUGGCGAAGGCGGCUCGCUGGACCGGUUCUGACGCUGAGGCGCGAAAGCGUGGGGAGCAAACGGG
rnacentral:rRNA from 1 species